rnacentral:rRNA from 1 species
GAUGAACGCUGGCGGCGUGCCUAAUACAUGCAAGUCGAACGCAUUGUGGUUGAAAUGAUAUGAAGAACUUGUUCAGAUUUGAUUUUCAACAUUGCAAUGAGUGGCGAACGGGUGAGUAACACGUGGGAAACCUACCUCUUAGCAGGGGAUAACAUUUGGAAACAAAUGCUAAUACCGUAUAAUAAUUAAAACCGCAUGGUUUUAGUUUAAAAGAUGGUCUUGCUAUCACUAAGAGAUGGUCCCGCGGUGUAUUAGUUAGUUGGUGAGGUAAUGGCUCACCAAGACAAUGAUACAUAGCCGAGUUGAGAGACUGACCGGCCACAA